UACGUAGGGUGCGAGCGUUAAUCGGAAUUACUGGGCGUAAAGCGUGCGCAGGCGGUUUUGUAAGUCUGUCGUGAAAUCCCCGGGCUUAACCUGGGAAUUGCGAUGGAGACUGCAAGGCUAGAAUCUGGCAGAGGGGGGUAGAAUUCCACGUGUAGCAGUGAAAUGCGUAGAGAUGUGGAGGAACACCGAUGGCGAAGGCAGCCCCCUGGGUUAACACUGACGCUCAGGCACGAAAGCGUGGGGAGCAAACGAGG
rnacentral:rRNA from 1 species